UACGUAGGGACCAAGCGUUGUUCGGAUUUACUGGGCGUAAAGGGCGCGUAGGCGGCGUGGUAAGUCACUUGUGAAAUCUCUGAGCUUAACUCAGAACGGUCAAGUGAUACUGCUGUGCUAGAGUGCGGAAGGGGCAAUCGGAAUUCUUGGUGUAGCGGUGAAAUGCGUAGAUAUCAAGAGGAACACCUGAGGUGAAGACGGGUUGCUGGGCCGACACUGACGCUGAUGCGCGAAAGCUAGGGGAGCGAACGGG
rnacentral:rRNA from 1 species